rnacentral:rRNA from 1 species
UACGUAGGGGUGCGAGCGUUUGUCCGGAAUUAUUGGGCGUAAAGAGCUUGUAGGCGGUUUGUCGCGUCUGCUGUGAAAAUCCCGGGGCUCGACCCCGGACUUGCAGUGGGUACGGGCAGACUAGAGUGUGGUAGGGGAGACUGGAAUUCCUGGUGUAGCGGUGGAAUGCGCAGAUAUCAGGAGGAACACCGAUGGCGAAGGCAGGUCUCUGGGCCACUACUGACGCUGAGAAGCGAAAGCCAGGGGAGCAAACGGG